rnacentral:lncRNA from 1 species
CGGAUGGGGGGAGAGGCCAUACAGUGCCCAUAUGUGCCCCCAUAGCCAUGUCAGGGACAGGAAGAGAACCUCGCCCUAACAUGAGCAAGAUCGAAGGCCCGAUUAUUUGUAGAUCGGAUGGGGAGAAAGGCCAUGCAGCGCCCAUAUGCGCCCCCACAGCCAUGUUAGGGACAGGAGGAGAACCUCGUCCUAACAUGAGCAAGGUUGAAGGCCUGAUUAUUUGUAGACCGGAU